GAACAUCAUCUCCAAAUCUUCCACUUAAUUAAUGUCUUGAUAAGUGUAUUGAACUUAGAUAAGGCAACAUGAAUGAGAGGGCAUUAACCUUGAUCUGACAACGUAAAAGGCUAGAGCACAAUCACCAAAGACCUCUUGCCUACCGCUUACAAGCCUAUUAAGGUAACAAAGUCUAAUCAAUGUCAUGACUGUGUAAUUGAACUUAGAUAAGGUAACACGGUGAGAGGGUAUUAAC
rnacentral:lncRNA from 1 species